GACAGAGGUGCCAAGCGUUAGGCGGAAUCACUGGGCUUAAAGCGUGUGUGGGCGGGUCGUUAAGUACCUUGUGAAAUCCCCCGGCUCAACCGGGGAACGGCUGGGUAUACUGGCGAUCUUGAGCCACCUAGGGGCAGUCGGAACAAGUGGUGGAGCGGUGAAAUGCGCAGAUAUCGGGAGGAACACCGGUGGCGAAGGCGGGUCUCUGGGCCGAUACUGACGCUGAGGAGCGAAAGCGUGGGGAGCGAACAGG
rnacentral:rRNA from 1 species